GUCAUAUGAUUCAUAAGCAUGGCCAUUUCUGUUUGCCGCUGUCCCUAAAGGGUUUGUUUGAAAAUGUGAUCAAAGUUAGGCUGAGUAUUGCAAGAAAAUAUAUUGAAAAUGAGCUAUGCCCUUACUAUAAUUGGUUGUUAUUUGAACACACUUGUAUUGAAUUUUUGAAUUUCUCUUACCGUCCUGAGGUGAGGGUUCAGUGGUAAUGCUGAUUUGCUUGGACAUGCGUUGCUGGAUGUGGAGAUUCUGGUCCAGCAGUUGAAUCGUCACUUGUCGAUGGGGGCAAGGCCACUGGAGUUGGUCAUCAUACUUCCCUGAGACUAAGCACACACAGACUCCAAACAACAUUUCACGAAGAUAAAUGGCAAUCUGGUGUGAUGGAGGAAUUCGGUUUCUGACGUGUUGAUGUCAUCGAUGGAAAACCCGCCUGUAGACUGUCCUGCCCCUUUACGCACCUCAAACUCCACCUGGAAGGUUUUGGGCCAUUCAGGGGCACGUGGUAGGGCAUCCAGUGAGAUCCUGGGGAACCUUCAGAGAGAGACACUAGAGAUGAGAUGAAACAAUUAAUUCUAGCAAUUAAUUUUCCAUGUAGUUGAUUCACCUUCUCAUCAUCUUAACCUGUGAUCUGUCCGAUGAGGCAGAGAGUUCCUUUAGAGUCCCUCUCAUCCCGGUACUCUCUGAUCCAGAUGUUGAGCUGCUCUAACUCGUUACCACUGUGGUAAUAGUAGAACUGCAGACACUGCAUUUCCUGCUGGGAGUCAUCUCCUUGCUCUCCAGCCGGGCUGUGUCACCCUCCUGGCCUGACGCUGUGCUUGCAUGCAUGAAGAAAUCAGUACCUGGUUAAAGUAGGGUUGGUGAAAUCGGAAUAGGGCCCCCCAAUGACAGUCUUCAUUCUUUUACAGCCACCUAACAAACUCGAUGGUGCAGCGACUCAUCCCAAACAAUCUCUGGUUGUGGAAGUUGCAAUGUUCAAUAAAUGAAAUCGAUUUUUCUACAGGAGGAAAAUAAUAUACAUGUUUUUCAACUUGGACAUACAGUACAGUAGACCUGCUUGGUUUCAUGACACACACUUACUGCAUCCGUAUAGCUUGUUCAGCAUCAAGGCAUCUUGUGGGCUCAUUUCAAGGCGUUGUCCAAUCAUUUUUGGUACUCAGGUUGCUUAGUGAUGAUGGUAGGUCCCUUUCCCUUGCUGAAUGAUGUCUCACUGUAAUGCAGCACCGAGCUGUAGUCAUAUGGGAAACCCAGGGUGAUCGAAUAAUGGGGAGAGACUUUCACAAAGUUCCUCUCAUGACCUGUAGACAAGGGGUGGAUUCAUGACACUUAAUUACUGCUUUAGUUUACCACCUUAAAUUUCCUGAAAUUAAAGUUUGAAAAACAGCCUAUUACACUCAUGAUAAAUAACCAUAAUUUACUUUCACGCACAACAUUUUGCUAACAUCGUGAAUACAACAAUGUAUAUAAAGUGAAUUUAAUAACAAAAAAUGCAUAAUAUGUAGACCUUAUUAUUAGAAUUUACAACUGAAAAACGCUGAAAAAAAUAUGUUUUUCCAAACAAUGGUCACAUAUUCAUCCCUGUCAUAUCUGGACUGUUCAUGCCAGAUUCCCAGAGCGUGUAGAAACUCAUGCUCCACAAUGCCAAUAUGAUCACAGUAAUUUCCAAUGGAAAGAGGAUGUCCAUACUUGGAAGAUCUCCCUAUGUGGGAGGAACACCUACAUUAAAAGAAAGCAAGGAGACACAAAAAAUGAACCUGUAUCAAUAUCAAGCAAGUCAGAUAUCUUCAGUUAAAAGUGGCAACCUACCCAUGUUCCCUCAAGUGGUCAGGCAGGGAAAAAAUGAUCUUACCCUCUGUUCUUCUAGGCUGAAAUGAAGUGAUACUCAGAGCCUCUGGGCUUGAAGUCGACACAUGAUUUUAGUCUGAACUGCUCAAUAGCCCGCAGAAUGAUCCUUUUUGCAUUCAAAGCUGAGUUCAUAUAGAAAACACAUGGUAAAAGUGAUGGCAAAUUAGGGCCUUUGGAGGAAGGAUCCAUCACUUAUCCAACCUUUAUUUAUCGGCCUGGUGGGAAAGCCUUCACUCUGUAUAGGAACAGAUUACAUACGCACAACCACUGUUUCUGAGCAGAUGCUGGAUACAGAAUAAUAUGUUCAGUAAAUGGUCAAAAGAGACUCUUCAAUCUUAUCUCCCAUGUGGUUUAUUGGAGACUUUUCAUUAGGUCUCCAUUUACAAAGAACAAGCCAACGUUCUGUGUAUAGACAUAUGACAUCGCACCUGAGGACAUCGGUCAAGUGACAGGUAUAAUCUACGGUGUGAUGUUACUUGGGGAUGUCUGUCCAUAUGUGGACUUUUAACCCUCCUGCUGUGUUCUGGUCGAUUUGGACCG